GAUUGAAUGGCUGAUAACAGGCAAUAAAUUGUAAAUUUAUUUAUGAAAUUUUUUUUCUUCAAUCA
rnacentral:tRNA from 1 species